GGCUGGCUGCCCUCACUCAAGAUGGCGGCGCCGGGGGGGCGUGGCCGGUGACGCGGAGGCCCGAGCAGGGCGGGAACAUGGCGGCGGCUGAGGAGCCGAGUCGCGGGGACCGGGAAGACGGGGAAGAGGAGGAAGAGGAGGAAGAGGAGGCCGAGCAGUUGGUUUUGGUGGAAUUGUCAGGAAUUAUUGAUUCAGACUUUCUCUCAAAAUGUGAAAAUAAAUGCAAGAUUUUGGGAAUUGACACUGAGAGGCCCAUUCUGCAAGUGGACAGCUAUGUCUUUGCUGGCGAGUAUGAAGACACUCUUGGGACUUGUGUUAUAUUUGAAGAAAAUGUUGAACAUGUGGAUGCAGAAGGAAAUAAUAAGACAGUGCUGAAGUAUAAAUGCCAUACAAUGAAGAAGCUCAACAUGACAAGAACUCUUCUGACAGAAAAGAAGGAAGGAGAAGAAAACAUAGGUGGUGUGGAAUGGCUGCAAAUCAAGGAUAAUGAUUUCUCCUAUAGACCCAACAUGAUUUGUAGCUUUCUACAUGAAAAUGAAGAUGAAGAUGUUGUAGUUCCAGCCUCAGAUAAACCUUUGGAGUUGGAAGAGCAAGAAAUUCAAAUGAAGGAUAAUUCAAACCUGAGUCAUGAACAGGGGAAGCCACUGCACCUGGAAAUAGAGGAUUCUGGUCCUCUUAUUGAUAUCCCUUCUUUUGAGACAGAAGGUUCUGUUUUUAUGGAAACUCAAGAUGCUACUUUAGAAAGCUCUCCUAGAUGAAAUGUUUCUCGUAAUAACUAGUCGUGAACUUUUUAGAGUUUUUAUAUAAAAUAUUUGGCUGUGUAGCUUUCAGUUCACUAUUAUUUUAUUUUUGUUGGCUAUACACAUAUUUCCAAUUAUAGCUACAACUUAAUAUAACAGAAUCAUUAAGGACCAGGUAUGAACUGAAUUUUUUAAAAUAUGGUUUAAAUGACUAUAGCAACCCUUCUCUGCUGAGUCCUUUAAACUGGAGAUUUUACUAAGGUCCAUUUGAUUACAUUGGGCCCACCUGGAUGACCUUCCUGUUUUAAGGUCUGUAACUUUAAUUUCAUUUGCAAAGUCUGUUUUGCCAUGUAACUUAAUGUAAACAGGCAUAAAACUGAGGAUUAGGGCCUGAAAAUUUUGGGGGGCCAUUUUCCGGUCUACCACAGUAAGUAUUAUAUCUAGGAACAGAAAAAGAAUUCAGAAGUGCUUAAGGAUAAAGUUCAAGUUCCUGAUAGUCCAGCUGUAAUUCCACUCCUUUCCCCCUUGAGAAAGAUACUGGAAUUCAGAUGUAACAGUCAUUCUAUUAUGGUGAUGAGCAGAUCUGGUCUAAUUUGUGUUUUUUAAGUAAAUUAUUCACAAACUUUAAUACUUUGUUAUAGGUUGAACUAUAUGAAAUUGCCAAUAUUCAAUUGUUUCUAACUACAAAAAACAGCAACUUCGUAUGGUUUUACCUGGUGUUAAUACGUUAAAACAAACCUGACAUUAAUUAUAUCUCAUAAGGGUUGGAGAUAUAACUGUUUUUUGUGACAGAUCAGAGAACUAAUGUUCUAGGGUGAGGAAUUUUUUUCUUCAAUAAGUUUUGUAACUUUUCAAAAAAAAACUUAUGCUGAUUAAAAACAUUUCCAAAUCAUAAGUGCAUAUGUCUUCCCAAUUUUUAUACGGCUUUUUUAGCCUCAGCUUUUGUUAAUAAAAAGCUUACUUUUCCCACCAUAUGUCUGUGUAGGAGAGACUGCUAAUUAUCUGACCCAAUAUCUGUUCUUCCUUUUUUUCUUUGUAACAGAAUCCCAGAAUUUAUUCAGGUUAUUAAUGUGCCCAGCUUUCCUUGCGUGUAUACAUGGCCAUUUGACUAAAUUCUGGGCAGUGACAUGGAAUUAGAAGUGUCGAGAGUGGGAUGAUUCUGGCAAGUUUUCUUAAACUUUAAGGUGUAAGAGGAAAUGGGCCAGCUCAUCUUCUCUUUCUUCCUGCUGGAACAUGGCUGUGGCGGCUAGAGUUCCACCAGGCUUCCUAGACUGUAAAGUAACCUUGGAAAUAGAAGCCCUGGGUGGCAGAGCAACAAGAUAGAAGAUCGGAUUCUGACACUAUGCUGCUGCCCUAGACUGCUGUGAACAGAGGGUUAGUAAAACCCUUCUUUUUCUUCCUAGUAGAAUGAGCUCGACUUUACCUUUCAGCAGCGUUUUCUCUGGAAGCCUGCUGGACAAGGUACUAAUAGAGCAUCAGCUGUAAUGCCAGGCGAUAUUGUUUGUCAUUUAAAAUUACCCUUAUUGGUAAGCUGUACCUGGACCAGGACGACUGUGACAAGUGCUAUAAAUGUCCAUUGGAAAGCGUGUGCUUUGGACUUCCUUAAGUGCUGUGUUUCUUUUUGCAAAGAUCCCUGGAAGCGACACUCAUGGGCUCUGAAGAGAUAUUGGUUCUUAGGGAGCAUGAAGGUUGUAAGCCAAUGUGGCUUCUGCACCCACCCAGAUGAUCUUGUUCCGUUAGAGUGGAGCUCACACUCGGGAGUCUGGAGCAAAGACUCCUGCUGAAACAAGUCAUGCUGCUGUGCUUUUUCCUAUGAAGUCAAGUGAGCCGCUGCAGGUUGGGUCCCCCAGGCUUAUUGGGUCCUGUGAGCGAAUGUCAUUCCAAAACUCUGACUACUACUGCUGUUCAGGCAGAGAAGGCAUUGCAACUACCUACCUCUGGCCUUUUACGUGAGAGAAAUAACUUCUCUCUUGUUUAAGUCACUCUGUAAUGGCCACAGUUAACCCUAAUGGAUACAAUGUGCAUUUUAGAAAACUUGAAAAAUGUAGAAAAGUAUAAAGAAGUUGAGUGGAAGAUUCUUGAGAUUUGUAAACUUGUAAAAGAAACUGAUCUAGACUAUUAGGUAAGUUACACCUUAAAUUGAAGAAGAAAAUGAAAUCAUAAAUUCUGAAGAGAAUAUGAUGUGUUUUAGCUUCUUACCUGUUAAUAGGAUAGAUGUUUGGAAUUUAGUGAAAUAAAAUCUUAUUUUUCAACCGUGAAAUAUUUUGUAAGACUAGAACUUCAUAUAUGAAUUUCUCCUCUGUUGAUUUGCCUUGUAACUUACUAGGAUUACUCAUCUUGGAACCAGUCUCUCUGUGGCUGUCACACUAAAGACUACUUCUGACACCAAAUGCAGUGGGUGGCUUUUACUUGCAAAUGAUGGUGUUCUAUUCAAAAGGGAUCAUAUUGUUAGAAUGUAUCAUGGAGAAUUCUUCCUUAAGGCCAUUAUAGAAAUGUUUGAAAACCCACCCGUUUUUCUUUUGUUUUUCUUUUUUGAGGGAAGUACUGGUAUUUUGUCUCUGGGUUUAAUGUAACUGUACUUACAUAACAUUAAUGAGAAUGUCAAGGUAGCAAGAGGUUCUAGUUUUCUCAGAUCCAAAAUAAAAUUUCUUUCACUAUCGUGUCUUAA